rnacentral:rRNA from 1 species
AAAAUUUAAAAUUAAAAUACUAAAAUAGUAUGUAAUUAUUUAUUGAAACUUAAAUAAUUUGGCGGUAUUUUAGUUCAUUUAGAGGAAUCUGUUUAAUAAUUGAUAAUCCACGAAUAAAUUUACUUAAUUUAUAAUUUUGUAUAUCGUUGUUAAAAAAAUAUUUUUUAAUAAAAUUAAUAUUUAAUAAUUAUUAUAAAAAUUUAAAUCAGAUCAAGAUGCAGAUUAUAAUUAAGAAUAUAAUGGAUUACAAUAAAUUUAUUUAUAUGGAUAUUAUUUUGUAAAAAAUUAAUUGAAAGUGGAUUUAAAUGUAAUUUUAUUUAAUUUAAUAAAAUGAUUAUAUAUUAAAAUAUGU